rnacentral:lncRNA from 1 species
UAUGCUUCAAACAGUAUGCAAGAAAGAAAUACUCUUUGGUCUGACCUGACUAAUAUUGUAAAUGGCUGUCUCAAUGUACCUUGGAUUGUUCUUGGAGACUUUAAUACUGUUCGGUACACAAAUAAAAAAGAGGGGGGUAGACAACUUUCAGAAAGCCAGCUUCAAAGUUUUAAUGAUUACAUUGACACUGCAGCAUUGUUUGAUAUGAAAUCUGUGGGUAAUUGGCUCU